AACGCGAAGAACCUUACCAACCCUUGACAUCGCAGGACCGCCCCGGAGACGGGGUUUUCUCGUAAGAGACCUGUGGACAGGUGCUGCAUGGCUGUCGUCAGCUCGUGUCGUGAGAUGUUCGGUUAAGUCCGGCAACGAGCGCAACCCACACCCUUAGUUGCCAGCAUUCAGUUGGGCACUCUAAGGGAACUGCCCGUGAUAAGCGGGAGGAAGGUGUGGAUGACGUCAAGUCCUCAUGGCCCUUACGGGUUGGGCUACACACGUGCUACAAUGGUGGUGACAAUGGGUUAAUCCCCAAAAGCCAUCUCAGUUCGGAUUGUCGUCUGCAACUCGACGGCAUGAAGUCGGAAUCGCUAGUAAUCGCGUAACAGCAUGACGCGGUGAAUACGUUCCCGGGUCUUGUACACACCG
rnacentral:rRNA from 1 species